rnacentral:lncRNA from 1 species
UACGUUGACAAAAUUAUUCCUCAUUAAUUUUUAAUAAAACUCUAACACUUCUUUACUCUUUUUUAUCAAGAGGUAGUUUAGUAAAAAAUAUUAUACAAAUAUCAUCCAUCCUCUCUUUCAUUUCUCCUAUAUCAAAUAUAGGAGAAUAUCAUUCCCAUCCAUCAUUUUGUGUAUAUUUGGUGAAACAUGAAAGGAUGAAUGAAAGACUCAUCCAUCCUCUCUUUUAUUUUUAUUUUCUAUCCAUUCUUUGUCUAAUCCAUUCUUUGUACCAAACAGAGGAUAUGUUCCAACAUUCAAAACAAGUAUAUUUGCUUUUGCCACACUAGAGCACAUGU